ACAGGAGAGCAUGGGGGAGAGUGUGUGAUGCGGCCUCAGAUUCUUGGCCUACGACCUUCAUUCACCUGCAGUUGGGGUAAUUCUAGUUAAAUAAAAGACGACUUGAUCCAACCUCGGGAAACCACCACCAGCAGCAGUGACCCAACUAAGGCUUUCACACAGAGAAUAGAACUGAUUUUUUGAAUCAUGAAAAGCACAUGGUGGCUCUGAAUGGAGACCUGCCAUCCUCAGUCUCCCCUGGAGUUCUGGCCAAUAGGAAAUACACAGAACUGUCAUCGAAGAAGAAGAGAAGACAACUCCCAGGAAAUAAGUUUAAACUGCCCUCUCCAUCUUCUGGAAGUGUGCUCCCUGUGAAGAUGGCCUAGACGAGAGUUCAAGAAGAAAGGCAAGACAAAGCUGGGGAAGCAAUUCAGCUGAGAACCAUUUUUGAAGUUCCUGUUAAACUCUACAUGAAGGUGGUGUGACCUGGUGGCACCUGGGGGAGAUGAAAGUCAUCUUCUCCAUCUUUGUAUCCUCAACACCUGGCCCAGCUGGGAGUCUCCCCAACAGAUGUUUGGAGUGGUGUGUGGAUAGUGGCGAAGGGAAGAGCUUCCCAGAUCUUUGGAAAGAUGGACCAUAACAACAAAGUAAAACCACAUCUGUGUUGAGUGUUCUAAAACGAGGUGAGAUAGUCUCUGGCCUCCAAGCUCCUACAAAAAGUGAAGGUUCCUAGUGCUGUUCCCAGCACCAACCAUUCCCUUGCCUGGCCUCCUGUGGGAAGAAUUCUUCAUUGAAUAACAUCAGAUAUCAAUUUUUGAGCCAAGAGGUUAAGCUGGUCUAUUUAACCCCAAUAUCCACGAAAACCUGACAUCCCGAACCUCUGUCCAGAAUGGAGCCCCCCCACAUUUGUCCAUCCUCUCUGGAGCUCUCAUCUGUCUGGCUGCCCCCUCACCAACUCCUCAAAUCACCCUUCUGGCCAUGCCCUGGGGACACCUCUACCAUUACUGGAUCCUGACAUUUGGGGAUGGUUUGCUCAUUUCUCUGGCUUCUCCAAUUACAGGCAAAUUCUUGGAGGGCAGGGCUGUGUCUUGGUCAUUUCUGUUUCCUGGGCUAUCGCUUAGUGCUUGACCCUGGAUGGACAUUUGGGUGUGUAUUUAGAACAAAUGAACAAGGUGAUCUUUGAGAGAAUAAUUCAGUCACUUGUCUCUGAUACAAUGUGGAGCUCUGAAAUAGCCUGUUUGUCAUGAUUUCUAUUUCUAAAAAUUAAGGACAGAUAAGUCUAUUAUCCCUUUUGCCAAGGAUCAUUUUGGGAACUGGACAAUGUUGUGGAGAGAAUUUUCUGAUUUCUCUUUUCCUAUUUGCCUUUAUAACUCCAGAGGCAAACACAAAGGCCAACACUUAAUCUUCCUUUAUCAGUCAAAGCAAUGAAACAAUAGUAAUUAACUCAGUAACACCCUUGGCCAUCAUGACAGCAGGUGGCUGAAGGUACCUGGCCCGCAGUGGGGAAGACAGACCUUCGGUUUUCUCCUUGUCUUGUUAUCAUUCCUAGCAGUUGAGGAACCUCACUCUUAGACUCACUGUGGAUUGCUGAUGAGCAACCAGCAGCAGUUCCAGGGGACUUGCUCUGCCAGCUUUUUCUCAGAAAGUCUAGGAGUGGACAAGUCAGAGCAAUGUCUCCUUCCUUGAAUCCAUGCAGAAAAAAGUGGCUCUUUUCUUGUGAUUAGCAAGUUCUGCAUUUUUCCUUGUUUUUCCAUGUCCUGAAGAGGGUACAUAUGAGAAAACAUAAGCAUAUGACAGCACUUUGCUUCGUUUCUUGUCUUCUAGGAUUAUGGAUUACCAGUGAAAACCUGUAGUGUCCUUGGUGUUGCCCCAUAAUGCAUCCUCACUCACUCAUUCAUUCAUUCAACCAACAAAAAUAAACUGUUGACUUA